GACGAACGCUGGCGGCGUGCCUAAUACAUGCAAGUCGAACGCUUCUUUCCUCCCGAGUGCUUGCACUCAAUUGGAAAGAGGAGUGGCGGACGGGUGAGUAACACGUGGGUAACCUACCCAUCAGAGGGGGAUAACACUUGGAAACAGGUGCUAAUACCGCAUAACAGUUUAUGCCGCAUGGCAUAAGAGUGAAAGGCGCUUUCGGGUGUCGCUGAUGGAUGGACCCGCGGUGCAUUAGCUAGUUGGUGAGGUAACGGCUCACCAAGGCCACGAUGCAUAGCCGACCUGAGAGGGUGAUCGGCCACACUGGGACUGAGACACGGCCCAGACUCCUACGGGAGGCAGCAGUAGGGAAUCUUCAGCAAUGGACGAAAGUCUGACCGAGCAACGCCGCGUGAGUGAAGAAGGUUUUCGGAUCGUAAAACUCUGUUGUUAGAGAAGAACAAGGACGUUAGUAACUGAACGUCCCCUGACGGUAUCUAACCAGAAAGCCACGGCUAACUACGUG
rnacentral:rRNA from 1 species